rnacentral:rRNA from 1 species
UGGGGAAUAUUGCACAAUGGGGGAAACCCUGAUGCAGCGACGCCGCGUGGAGGAAGAAGGUCUUCGGAUUGUAAACUCCUGUUGUUGAGGAAGAUAAUGACGGUACUCAACAAGGAAGUGACGGCUAACUACGUGCCAGCAGCCGCGGUAAAACGUAGGUCACAAGCGUUGUCCGGAAUUACUGGGUGUAAAGGGAGCGCAGGCGGGAGAACAAGUUGGAAGUGAAAUCCAUGGGCUCAACCCAUGAACUGCUUUCAAAACUGUUUUUCUUGAGUAGUGCAGAGGUAGGCGGAAUUCCCGGUGUAGCGGUGGAAUGCGUAGAUAUCGGGAGAACACCAGUGGCGAAGGCGGCCUACUGGGCACCAACUGACGCUGAGGCUCGAAAGUGUGGGUAGC